rnacentral:lncRNA from 1 species
GCAGCGGCGGCCGCAGCAGCAGCAGCAAGACGGACUCGUGGAGACGCGCCGCCGCCGCCGCCGCCGGGCCGGGCCGGGUGUCGCGCGCCGAGGCUGGGGGGGAGUCGUCGCCGCCGCCGCCACCGCUACCGCCGCCGCCGCCGCCGCCGAGGUGACUGAGGAGAGAGGCGCCUCCUCGCUCCCGCCACCGCCGGACUUCAAUGCCCAGUCCCCAGCUCGCCAGCGUUUUUCGUUGGAAUAUACGUUGCACAUUUAUGGCGAUUCUGAGUGUGAGGGCAGACUUCUGCCAGGCUCAGCACAGCAUUUUCGCUGACAAGUGAGCUUGGAGGUUCUAUGUGCCAUAAUUAACAUUGCCUUGAAGACUCCUGGACACCGAGACUGGCCUCAGAAAUAGUUGGCUUUUUUUUUUUUUAAUUGCAAGCAUAUUUCUUUUAAUGACUCCAGUAAAAUUAAGCAUCAAGUAAACAAGUGGAAAGUGACCUACACUUUUAACUUGUCUCACUAGUGCCUAAAUGUAGUAAAGGCUGCUUAAGUUUUGUAUGUAGUUGGAUUUUUUGGAGUCCGAAGGUAUCCAUCUGCAGAAAUUGAGGCCCAAAUUGAAUUUGGAUUCAAGUGGAUUCUAAAUACUUUGCUUAUCUUGAAGAGAGAAGCUUCAUAAGGAAUAAACAAGUUGAAUAGAGAAAACACUGAUUGAUAAUAGGCAUUUUAGUGGUCUUUUUAAUGUUUUCUGCUGUGAAACAUUUCAAGAUUUAUUGAUUUUUUUUUUUCACUUUCCCCAUCACACUCACACGCACGCUCACACUUUUUAUUUGCCAUAAUGAACCGUCCAGCCCCUGUGGAGAUCUCCUAUGAGAACAUGCGUUUUCUGAUAACUCACAACCCUACCAAUGCUACUCUCAACAAGUUCACAGAGGUAAGAUUUAUGGAGUGACGACUUUGGUUCGAGUUUGUGAUGCUACAUAUGAUAAAGCUCCAGUUGAAAAAGAAGGAAUCCACGUUCUAGAUUGGCCAUUUGAUGAUGGAGCUCCACCCCCUAAUCAGAUAGUAGAUGAUUGGUUAAACCUGUUAAAAACCAAAUUUCGUGAAGAGCCAGGUUGCUGUGUUGCAGUGCAUUGUGUUGCAGGAUUGGGAAGGGCACCUGUGCUGGUUGCACUUGCUUUGAUUGAAUGUGGAAUGAAGUACGAAGAUGCAGUUCAGUUUAUAAGACAAAGGGGAGCGUUCAAUUCCAAACAGCUGCUUUAUUUGGAGAAAUACCGACCUAAGAUGCGAUUACGCUUCAGAGAUACCAAUGGGCAUUGCUGUGUUCAGUAGAAGGAAAUGUAAACGAAGGCUGACUUGAUUGUGCCAUUUAGAGGGAACUCUUGGUACCUGGAAAUGUGAAUCUGGAAUAUUACCUGUGUCAUCAAAGUAGUGAUGGAUUCAGUACUCCUCAACCACUCUCCUAAUGAUUGGAACAAAAGCAAACAAAAAAGAAAUCUCUCUAUAAA